rnacentral:rRNA from 1 species
UCAGAUCACGUAAAUUUUUAAUAGUCGAACAGACUAAACUCUCAUAGCCCCUUCACCACAAUUUUAAUUUAAUUCAACAUCGAGGUCGCAACCUUAACUAUUAAUAAGAACUCAUUAAUUAAAUAACGCUGUUAUCCCUAGAGUAAUUUUUAUACCUCUAUCUUAAAAGUUAAAAAUACCUAACUUCAACUAUUGCCCCAAUAAAAAAUUUCUAAUUAUAAACUUCUAGGGUCUUCUCGUCCUAAGGAUUCACAAAAGCUUUUUAACUUCUAAAUUAAAUUCAAAUUCUUCUUAAAAAACUUUCCUCUCAGUAUCUACCUUUCAUUCCAGCUCCCAAUAAAAGAA